ensembl:lncRNA
GAAAAACGGAAGUGAUAGGAUGUUAUCGCUGCUCGGCACAGUAGAAUUUACGGAGAGACUUCGUGCAGCAGGCGAUGAAAUCUAAAACCUUAUUAAAGCUCGAGUGAAGAAAUCAUCCGUGAAUGCAGACUAUUGGAUAUCCGAGAUAACAGAUCCCCUACAGCAAUAUGAAGUGUGAGGAAGAGGAGAGUCUGAAUGACCCGCAGGUCUAUAACCAGGAGGGGAACUUUGGUCUGAGCGAGGAUGGUCCAGAACUUCCACAGAUUAAAGAGGAACAGGAGGAAGUCUGCACCAGUCAGGAAAUAGCGCAGGUUAUAGUGAAGCAGGAGUCUGAAGAAAUCUUCGUCUGGACUGGGAAAGAGCGGUUCAGAGUGCUGGAUAACAUCUGGAAACAUGAGGAAGACUUACACUGCACAGAUGCACUCUCCCUCUCCUUUUAUCUUGUGCUCUUUCACAAACACACAUAUGGUGCCUUUCUGAACAAUUCGGAAUUUGGCUUAGCUUUCUCAAAUUUAUGUGUUGAUGCAUGCGCAAUCAUCCAGGUGAAUCCGAAUCAACUCUUUGGGACUUGCCAAAUUUACAUCUGCAACACACCAACUGUUGAGUAACGUCCCAUCUGAGAGAUGUGAAACGCAGCAUUAGAAAUGUACAGCCCACACUUACCACAGACUUCUUACACUCUCCCACAG